UCGUUGGGUAGGGGAGCGUUCUGUAAGCCUGCGAAGGUGGCCUGUGAGGGUUGCUGGAGGUAUCAGAAGUGCGAAUGCUGACAUAAGUAACGAUAAUGCGGGUGAAAAACCCGCACGCCGGAAGACCAAGGGUUCCUGUCCAACGUUAAUCGGGGCAGGGUGAGUCGACCCCUAAGGCGAGGCCGAAAGGCGUAGUCGAUGGGAAACAGGUUAAUAUUCCUGUACCUGGUGUUACUGCGAAGGGGGGACGGAGAAGGCUAUGUUGGCCGGGCGACGGUUGUCCCGGUUUAAGCGUGUAGGCUGGUUUUCCAGGCAAAUCCGGAAAAUCAAGGCUGAGGCGUGACGACGAGGCACUACGGUGCUGAAGCAACAAAUGCCCUGCUUCCAGGAAAAGCCUCUAAGCCUCAGGUAACAUCAGAUCGUACCCGAAACCGACACAGGUGGUCAGGUAGAGAAUACCAAGGCGCUUGAGAGAACCCGGGUGAAGGAACUAGGCAAAAUGGUGCCGUAACUUCGGGAGAAGGCACGCUGACACGUAGGUGAAGCGGUUUACCCGUGGAGCUGAAGUCAGUCGAAGAUACCAGCUGGCUGCAACUGUUUAUUAAAAACACAGCACUGUGCAAACACGAAAGUGGACGUAUACGGUGUGACGCCUGCCCGGUGCCGGAAGGUUAAUUGAUGGGGUCAGCGCAAGCGAAGCUCCUGAUCGAAGCCCCGGUAAACGGCGGCCGUAACUAUAACGGUCCUAAGGUAGCGAAAUUCCUUGUCGGGUAAGUUCCGACCUGCACGAAUGGCGUAAUGAUGGCCAGGCUGUCUCCACCCGGGACUCAGUGAAAUUGAACUCGCUGUGAAGAUGCAGUGUACCCGCGGCAAGACGGAAAGACCCCGUGAACCUUUACUAUAGCUUGACACUGAACACUGGUCCUUGAUGUGCAGGAUAGGUGGGAGGCUUUGAAGUGUGGACGCCAGUCUGCAUGGAGCCGUCCUUGAAAUACCACCCUUUAAUGGCUGGUGUUCUAACGUAGACCCGUGAACCGGGUUGCGGACAGUGUCUGGUGGGUAGUUUGACUGGGGCGGUCUCCUCCUAAAGCGUAACGGAGGAGCACGAAGGUUGGCUAAUCCUGGUCGGACAUCAGGAGGUUAGUGCAAUGGCAUAAGCCAGCUUGACUGCGAGCGUGACGGCGCGAGCAGGUGCGAAAGCAGGUCAUAGUGAUCCGGUGGUUCUGAAUGGAAGGGCCAUCGCUCAACGGAUAAAAGGUACUCCGGGGAUAACAGGCUGAUACCGCCCAAGAGUUCAUAUCGACGGCGGUGUUUGGCACCUCGAUGUCGGCUCAUCACAUCCUGGGGCUGAAGUAGGUCCCAAGGGUAUGGCUGUUCGCCAUUUAAAGUGGUACGCGAGCUGGGUUUAGAACGUCGUGAGACAGUUCGGUCCCUAUCUGCCGUGGGCGCUGGAGAACUGAGGGGGGCUGCUCCUAGUACGAGAGGACCGGAGUGGACGCAUCACUGGUGUUCGGGUUGUCAUGCCAAUGGCACUGCCCGGUAGCUAAAUGCGGAAGAGAUAAGUGCUGAAAGCAUCUAAGCACGAAACUUGCCCCGAGAUGAGUUCU
rnacentral:rRNA from 1 species